CAGGACGUAGCUACACCAAAGCAUUCAGCCUACACCUGAGAGACAUCUACCGCCACAGGUUGUCCUGA
rnacentral:tRNA from 1 species